ACAAGCGGUGGAGUAUGUGGUUUAACUCGAUGCAACGCGAAGAACCUUACCUGGUCUUGACAUCCCGGAGACCCUUAGGAAACUAGGGGGUGGCUUCCAUCUGGAAGAAUCUGGAGACAGGUGCUGCAUGGCUGUCGUCAGCUCGUGUCGUGAGAUGUUGGGUUAAGUCCCGCAACGAGCGCAACCCUUGCCUUUAGUUGCCAACAGUUCGGCUGGGCACUCUAAAGGGACUGCCGGUGUUAAACCGGAGGAAGGUGGGGAUGACGUCAAGUCCUCAUGGCCUUUAUGACCAGGGCUACACACGUACUACAAUGGCCGAUACAAAGGGCAGCGACACUGCGAGGUGAAGCCAAUCCCGUAAAAUCGGUCUCAGUCCGGAUUGGAGUCUGCAACUCGACUCCAUGAAGUUGGAAUCGCUAGUAAUCGUGGAUCAGCAUGCCACGGUGAAUACGUUCCCGGGCCUU
rnacentral:rRNA from 1 species